GUAUAUGUGUGUAUACACACAUGUAUGUAUGUGUGUGUAUAUAUAUACAUACACACAAACAUAUAUAUAUGUGUAUAUAUAUACACACACACACACAUAUAUAUAUAUGUAUAUAUAU
rnacentral:miRNA from 1 species